ACAAUUAUGUUUAUUUGGAUUUAAAAUAAAUUAAUUAUGAAUUAUUUAUUUAUUUAUUUUCAAUCACGUGACUUAUUCUAAGUCUCUGAUUGGUCAACAACAGAGCGCGGAUUUUUUCAUGGACGAUUUGAAUGUUGGUGUGUUGAAAGUGUUGAUAGAAAAACGAUGACAAAAUCAUUCGCAGUAUACUGGUACAUUAUUUCUUUCCAUGAGCAUCUCAUGUCUGUGCCAAGCUGGAGUGAAAUCCUUCAAAAAUAUCACCUGUUUUAGAAUUGAAGAAAAAUGAAGAGAAGGUUGAAAUUGCAAGCAUAUUUCAAAUGAAGACUCGGACGACUACCAGUGCAGGCCAUU